CAAACGGGAAAGCUGCUCCUCCAGAUUUGAGAGGCCAAGGAUGGCUAAUGUCGUCUCCUUUACAGUAUCUGCUUUCCAGUUUAAUGACCACAAGCAGGUUUACUUUCACUGCAAGAUGUUUACAAAGAAAAGCCAAGAUGUGACCAACACUGCCAAGUUCUGCACUUACAA